GACUUCGUGGUGUAGUGGUCAGCACGCACGGCGCGUAACCGAGAGGUCCGUGGUUCGAUUCCCGGCGAAGGCA
rfam:Stegodyphus mimosarum contig47701, whole genome shotgun sequence.